rnacentral:rRNA from 1 species
UACGUAGGGUGCAAGCGUUAAUCGGAAUUACUGGGCGUAAAGCGUGCGCAGGCGGUUGUGCAAGACAGAUGUGAAAUCCCCGGGCUUAACCUGGGAAUGGCAUUUGUGACUGCACGGCUAGAGUGUGUCAGAGGGGGGUAGAAUUCCACGUGUAGCAGUGAAAUGCGUAGAUAUGUGGAGGAAUACCGAUGGCGAAGGCAGCCCCCUGGGAUAACACUGACGCUCAGGCACGAAAGCGUGGGGAGCAAACAGG